AUUGAACGCUGGCGGCAUGCCUUACACAUGCAAGUCGAACGGCAGCACGGGGGCAACCCUGGUGGCGAGUGGCGAACGGGUGAGUAAUACAUCGGAACGUGUCCUGUAGUGGGGGAUAGCCCGGCGAAAGCCGGAUUAAUACCGCAUACGCUCUACGGAGGAAAGGGGGGGAUCUUAGGACCUCCCGCUACAGGGGCGGCCGAUGGCAGAUUAGCUAGUUGGUGGGGUAAAGGCCUACCAAGGCGACGAUCUGUAGCUGGUCUGAGAGGACGACCAGCCACACUGGGACUGAGACACGGCCCAGACUCCUACGGGAGGCAGCAGUGGGGAAUUUUGGACAAUGGGCGAAAGCCUGAUCCAGCAAUGCCGCGUAUGUAAAGAAGGCCUUCGGGUUGUAAAGCACUUUUGUCCCGGAAAGAAAAACGCCCGUGGUUAA
rnacentral:rRNA from 1 species